UCCGGGGGGGGCAAGCGUUGUUCGGAAUUACUUGGCGUAAAGGGCGCGUAGGCGGUUUGUUAAGUUGGAUGUGAAAACUGUGGGCUCAACCCAUAGCCUGCGUCCAAUACUGACAGGCUAGAGUUCUGGAGGGGAUAGCGGAAUUCCUGGUGUAGCGGUGAAAUGCGUAGAUAUCAGGAGGAACACCGGUGGCGAAGGCGGCUAUCUGGACAGAGUCUGACGCUGAGGCGCGAAAGCUAGGGGAGCAAACAGG
rnacentral:rRNA from 1 species